AUACCUACGGGAGGCAGCAGUGGGGAAUAUUGGACAAUGGGGGAAACCCUGAUCCAGCGACGCCGCGUGAGUGAAGAAGUAUUUCGGUAUGUAAAGCCCUAUCAGCAGGGAAGAAGAUGACGGUACCUGACUAAGAAGCCCCGGCUAAAUACGUGCCAGCAGCCGCGGUAAUACGUAUGGGGCAAGCGUUAUCCGGAUUUACUGGGUGUAAAGGGAGCGCAGGCGGCGCGGCAAGUCAGAUGUGAAAGCCCGGGGCUCAACCCCGGGACGGCAUUUGAAACUGCCGUGCUGGAGUGUCG
rnacentral:rRNA from 1 species